AUGGCCCCGCGGUGCAUUAGCUAGUUGGUAAGGUAAAGGCUUACCCAAGGCGAUGAUGCAUAGCCCGAGUUGAGAGACUGAUCGGGCCACAUUGGGGACUGAGACACGGGGCCCAAAACUCCUACGGGGGGAGGGGCAGCAGGUAGGGGGAAUCUUCCACAAUGGAACGCAAGUCUGAUGGAGCAACGCCGCGUGAGUGAAGAAGGUUUUCGGAAUCGUAAAGCUCUGUUGUUGGUGAAGAAGGAUAGAGGUAGUAACUGGUCCUUUAUUUGACGGUAAUCAACCAGAAAGUCACGGCUAACUACGUGCCAGCAGCCGCGGUAAU
rnacentral:rRNA from 1 species